rnacentral:lncRNA from 1 species
UUCCUUUUCCUUUACCCCAAACAGGAAAAAUAAUAAUAAUAAAUUGAAUUGACAAGAAGAUGUAGAUUUUUGUUACUUUCUUGUGUUGGGGAAAAAAAUGUUAACUUCUCUCUUGCUACUGAUGUUGCCUUUUUUACCCAUCACCUCUUGUCUCUAGCUAUUAACUUAAAAUGGUAAACCUGAAAUUGGGCAUAGUAGUACAUGCCUAAAUCCUAGCACUUGGGAGGCCAAGCACGAAGGAUCAGGAGUUUAAGGCCAGCUUCGGCAAUGUAGCAAGGAGUCUGUCUAAAGUAAAACCAAAACAAAGACGGAAGUCUGAGGCUCUGUCUAGUUUACAUAACUAAAACAGCUCUUACGAGCUUUGUGGUAGUUAAUUACAUAGUUUCAUUUCUUGAAAUUAAACCUCUGGAUGUUUGCAUUCAAAUGAAAGAGUCUCUCAACCCUAACAUGGGUUUCCCUCAAAGAAUGAGGAAUUUUCUUGCUCUUGUCUGAUAGUGCAGUACAAUAAUCAUACUAAAAGCCAGCAUUCAAAUUCUUCCUGUGUGUCAGUCAUUAUGCUAGUGUUUGAUUUGACGUGCCUUUUUACAUGUAGUCUUAAUGGCAGGAUAUAUGCAUUGAUAUCUUCUCAUUCUACGGGUUAGGAAACUGAAAGAUUAAAGAACUUGGUUGUGGUUUUAUAGCUAGUUUUUGGUAGCUGACUGAUUUCUAAUAGCUAAGCCUUAAUCUUUUUAGUGGUUUUAUUCACUAACAAAUAUGUAAAAAUGUACCAAUUUGUGUAGUUUUAUACAUCUAUGCCUAGUUCCCAAGUGGCACUUUUAAUUUUAGACCAAAUUUUGUACUAGAUUAAAGGGCACAACAGCUAAGAAGCUCUUCUUGCUCUGCUUCUAUGGCUUGCUCACCUUUCCAUCUACAUCUAAAUAGUUCAGUUAUGGAAAUAAUACAGCUGUUUUGGUAUUAUCAAGGAAAGAAAUAUUAAAUGAUAACUUUUAUGCAGUGCUUAUAGUCUUCAAACAUCACUCUGUAUUUCCAUGUAUGAGGGCAACUCCCUGGAGUCUCUUCAGGAAGUGGCACGUGCCUCUGUAUUUCUAGAACCUGAGGUGAUAGAGUAAGUGAAGCUUUUAAUAGUUAUAUGAGUACCUCACUGGGAAUUUUUCAUUCCUCUCUUCCCAACAGAAUUUUUAAAAUGGAAUUAAGUACCAAUUCCUUAGCUUAAUGUGCCUCUGGAAAAUCUUACCAAUUAAAAUUGAUUUUCUUUUUGCCUCUUGGAGCUUGAUAAUCCCAUUCUCAUCACAGAAAUUGUGUAAACUUCGUGAAAAUAUCACUAAGAGACUUAGCAUGUCUGAAAACAAGAUUAGGUUAAGACUAUAGUUCCCUAGAAAUGUAAAGACUUUUGAAAAAGUAAGAGGAGACUAUAUCUCCUUCACUCUCUCUCUCUGUGUGUGUGUGUGUGUGUGUGUGUGUGUGUGUGUGUGUGUGUGUGUGUAUGUGUUUUCAGUGCUUGCUUUGGGCAUGAGAGAGAAGCAUGCUACCACUGUUUAUACUUAUAAAUUUUGAGAUGGUCUCAAUAAAUUGCACAGUAAAGCCUUGGCCCCACGACUGUCCUUCCUUGACUUCCUGACUAACUGGAGUUACAGGCCUGUAUCACCAGGCUCGGCUCAGUUAUCUCUUUCAUCCCUUAGCCCCCCCCCCAAGAAACAAACAUAGAGAUGGGUGUUGUUUUGGAUUCUUGCUGGCUUUGUGCUUAUGUGUCUGUGUGCUUCUGCUGCUGUUGUACCUCUAACCAAAAAGAAUUUUGAUUUGCAGGUGAACUUAUAAAGCACAGACUAUCUGCUGUCGGCAUUGUGGCUACAUAGCCUUAUGAUUUCUAUGUAGAAAAACAAAAACUGGAUAGGAAUAUAAUUUUCUUUUUCCUUACCAAUGACCACAAACCAAUAUCAACUCAUACCUUAAAAUUCUUCAACAGUAGACCUCUGACCUCACAAAGCAAGCACUUGAUAAUUUCCAAAUAUUCAGUAUUCUCUGACAAUGUCAUUACUAAAAAGUUACAUUGCUGUAUGCUCCCUAUGCCAUUUUACAUAUAAAGUCUAAGUAACUCAUUGUGAAUUAUGGUUCUUAUUUGAAAACAAAACAAAGCAAAAAAAACUUUCC